UCUGGACGGGGGAUCACUCGCCUUGUCUGUCGAUGAAGAGCGCAGCCAACUGUGAGAACUGAUGUAAAUUGCAUGACUCAGUGAACAUCAACACCUCGAACACACAUUGAGGUCUCGAGAUCC